rnacentral:rRNA from 1 species
UACGGGGGGGGCAAGCGUUGUUCGGAAUUACUGGGCGUAAAGGGCGCGUAGGCGGCCUGCUAAGUUGGAUGUGAAAACUCUGGGCUCAACCCAGAGCCUGCAUUCAAUACUGACGGGCUAGAGUACUGGAGGGGAAAGCGGAAUUCCUGGAGUAGAAGUGAAAUUCGUAGAUAUCAGGAGGAACACCGGAGGCGAAGGCGGCCAUCUGGCGAGACAUUGACGCUAAGGUGCGAAAGCGUGGGUAGCAAACAGG